GAUGAACGCUGGCGGCGUGCCUAAUACAUGCAAGUCGAGCGAACAGAUGAGGAGCUUGCUCCUCUGACGUUAGCGGCGGACGGGUGAGUAACACGUGGAUAACCUACCUAUAAGACUGGGAUAACUUCGGGAAACCGGAGCUAAUACCGGAUAAUAUAUUGAACCGCAUGGUUCAAUAGUGAAAGACGGUUUUGCUGUCACUUAUAGAUGGAUCCGCGCCGCAUUAGCUAGUUGGUAAGGUAACGGCUUACCAAGGCAACGAUGCGUAGCCGACCUGAGAGGGUGAUCGGCCCGACGGGAACGGAGACGCGGUCCGGACUCCUACGGGAGGCAGCAGUAGGGAAUCUUCCGCAAUGGGCGAAAGCCUGGCGGAGCAACGCCGCGUGAGUGAUGAAGGUCUUCGGAUCGUAAAACUAUGUUAUUAGGGAAGAACAAAUGUGUAAGUAACUAUGCACGUCUUGACGGUACCUAAUCAGAAAGCCACGGCUAACUACGUG
rnacentral:rRNA from 1 species